CUUCCGUUAGGAAAUCUUAUCUCUUUGCAUCUUCGGAAAAGGUAGUGUUUAUGGUCCUCUGCUGCCCGGCUACUUUGAUUCUAGUGGUCCUAAACCUCGUCUAGGAUAUAGUCAGGACAUAUAGUAUUGUGUAUAAUAACCACUUUGGUGAAAAACAAUCAUAGUAUAACAGUAUAAUAGCACUAAAUUUCUGAAGCUUUGGUGUUUUGAGUGGAAAAUUCAGUCGGCUGAAGGUUUAAGUAGUAAAAGAGCUAGAAGUUUUGGAGGUUUCUGUCCCAUUAUGUAUGUAAAACGGAGGUUUCUUGGAUAUUUGUUUUUCGUUUGUCUGAAGUUUGGUUUGAAAGGAGUACCUGGAGGAGACAGGGUCUUGUGGUAAUGGCCGAGGACCCGUCUCGCCGGAUAAUGUUGCCGGUGAAGAACAAGGGCAGAGAAGAGUGAAUCUUGAAAGGGAAGGGAAGAGGACAAAGACCCAACAUUUGAGAUGGUAAGGCUGCUGAAGAAUGGUGAGACCAGACAAGAGAGAUUAAGCCUUUGGGUUUAGGUUCUGUGACCGUGUUUUCUUGGAGGCUCCUUGAAGAAGAAAGGAACACUUGGAAAAACGAACCAACUCUGCUUUCUUUGGGGAGGUUUCUAUUCGGAGAGGCAAAGCUACGACCAUAUAUAAACAUCUGUUAUGUAUGUAUGUAUGUAUGUAUGUAUGUAUAUGCACAUGUAUGUACUCAUGUAUACAUACAUGUAUCUCUGUAGAUUAUACAUGAAUGUGAUGUAAGAGAAUGUAUUUGGUUAUUAUUUUUA